rnacentral:rRNA from 1 species
CCUACGGGCGGCAGCAGUGAGGAAUCUUUCUCAAUGGGCGCGAGCCUGAUCCAGCCAAGUAGCGUGAAGGAUGACUGCCCUACGGGUUGUAAACUUCUUUUAUAUAGGAGUAAAGUGAGGCACGUGUGCCUUAUGGUGUGUACUUUAUGAAUACGGAUCGACUAACUCCGUGCCAGCAGCAGCGGUAAUACGGAGGAGCCGAGCGUUGUCCGGUUUUAUGGGGUUUAAGGGGCGCGUAGAUGGGUUGUUAAGUCAGUUGUGAAAGUUGCCGGCUCAACCGUAAAAUUGCAAUUGCUACUGGCAGACUUGAGUACAGUUGGGGUAGGCGGAAUUCGUGGUGUAGCGGUGAAAUGCGUAGAUAUCACGAAGAACUCCGAUUGCGAAGGCAGCUUACUAAACUGCCACUGACAUUGAGGCACGAAAGUGUGGGUAGCAAACGGGAUUAGAUACCCUGGUAGUC